AUGCAAAGUUGAGGGGUUUUUUUGGAUUUUGUUACACUAGAUGGCCUAUAUGGCCACUCCACUCUCCCUUCUCCUCAUUUCUCUCCUCACACCCUCUCCACACCUUUGUUAGAGAGAGAAGAAGGAGAAGAAGAAGAAGGAGAAGAAGAGGAGGAGGAUCUAGCUUGGACUUGGAGCAUUUCUUUGCCUCUCUUUCUCUUCCCACCUUGUUGGUGCUUGAAGGCUUGGACUUGGAGCUUGCAAGAGAGGAGAUCUUCACCCUUGGAGCUUAGAUUGGAGCUUCUAAGGAGGUUAGUUGCUCAUCUCCUUCCUCUAGACUUCGAUUUGUUGGUUUUUAGGAGAUGAAACCCUAGAAUGAGAUUUUAGGGUUGAUUUUGGGGCUUUUUGAUCUAGGGCUUUUGAGGCUCAAUUACUUGGUUUAGAAUCUUCCUUUGGGUUGGAUUGGAAGGAUUCUAGCUCUCUUUUGGAG
rnacentral:lncRNA from 1 species